UACAGAGGGUGCGAGCGUUAAUCGGAAUUACUGGGCGUAAAGCGCACGUAGGUGGCGACGUAAGUCGGGUGUGAAAGCCCCGGGCUCAACCUGGGAAUUGCAUUCGAGACUGCAUUGCUGGAGUACGGAAGAGGAAGGCGGAAUUCCCGGUGUAGCGGUGAAAUGCGUAGAUAUCAGGAGGAACACCGGUGGCGAAGGCGGCGACCUGGACCGGUACUGACGCUGAGACGCGAAAGCGUGGGGAGCAAACAGG
rnacentral:rRNA from 1 species